UUAAUUGAAACCAAAUUAGGUAAAUUAUUGUUAAUAAUUUUUUGAAUAAAAUUUAUUCCAAUUAAA
rnacentral:tRNA from 1 species